rnacentral:rRNA from 1 species
AGAGUUUGAUCCUGGCUCAGGAUAAACGCUGGCGGCGUGCCUAACACAUGCAAGUCGAACGCCCUCUCGCAAGAGAGGGAGUGGCGGACGGGUGAGGAACACGUGGGUACCUCCCUCUCAGUGAGGAAUACCGGCGAGAAAUCGCCGACAAUACCGCAUACGCUUCGCAAGAAGCAAAGCUCGCAAGAGCGCUGGGAGAU